CACAGGGAUCGAAACAUGUCUGCAGUCAUGUCAGAAGGCAAUAAAGUCUCAUCAAAGUCCAGCGGCUGGAUCACAGAAUGCAGCAAGAUCUGAGGAACCUCCAGUCACGGAAACAAACCAGAGCCAGAGGCCAACAGAAUCACAUGAAAUGAGGCCACUUCUGAAUCAAGAUCAGCAGGCUAGUGGGAGUGAAAAUCAGCCUGAUUCGGUAGUUUCACAAGCAUAAUCAACAAUGACAGAUAGAGAAUUUGUGACCAUUAAACCUUAUUAUUCUUUUUUAUUAUUAUUUCUAAAACAGUUCUUUAAGGCAUGUUUGAUGUACAUUUUUUCAACUAAAUUAUUGCACUUUUUGUAUGGAUAUAGAGGUGAUUUGAAUUAUUUGAUUUAUAAUUAAUUACUGUAUAUGUAACGGGUGUCCCAUCAGCAACACACCCGUCCAUAUUAACUCAGAUCUUGGAUUCAAUAAAAGAAGCCAUCCAACAUUGCACUCAAUUAGAUUCAUUCUCUCCGUCUGAGAUAAAACAAAGAUAUGUAAUGCAGGAAAGUGCAGCAUUAACAUUCAGCUCUCUCUCUUUCACAGUCACUGAUCUCUGUGAAUCUACAUUUUCUUAAAUUCAAAAACAUAACAUAUAAAAAUUGAUAAACAACAUACCUGAGAUAAAACAAAGAUAUGUAAUGCAGGAAAGUGCAGCAUUAACAUUCAGCUCUCUC